rnacentral:lncRNA from 1 species
GGAAACUUGGAAUUAUAAUCCUAUAGAUGCCUAAUGAGUUGCAUGCAUGAUAAUGUAAAACUCAACUAUCAAUUCAACAAGUCCAUCAGCUAUCGCGUGUUUGAACUUGUCUAUUAACUAGAUCUAAUGACCCAAACAAAUGUGUUCGAUCAAUAGUAGUGUCGAUUGAUAAUCCUAUAGGGAUAUCGAUCGAUACACCUUUCGCUCCGUCGAUUGAUUAUCCAAUAUGAAUAUCGGUCGACGCACUUCUAGUUAAGCUUUAUGUGCAGGUUGAAUAAUGCUUACUAAGCUCACUAGAUCAGCUCUCGCCUUACUCUUAGCAAGAAACUUAGCUCAGUUAGAAUAUUUUCAGGAUGAGAAUGAAGCUCUCGCUUUUAUCUAUCAAUCCUAGGGAAAGUUCUAGAUAGCUAAUCUAGAAACAUGCAUUAAUGAACAAUCCUAAUGACAAUUACCACAACUCAGCAAUCUAUAGUUGGGGCUAAUCCCUCAUAACCUAUUUAAACCCUAAAUCUAACAGUGGCACUACUCAGACAUGGCCAAGCAAUUCAUGAAAGCAACUAGGUUAGAAAACUUCAUAGAAUAGUAAAAUAGAUAUUAAUGGAGUUCCAAUCACAAAUUAUAACUUUGGAUCAUCUCUCGAAUCUAUCACAAUCCUAAAACCUUUUGCUGAAAGUAAUAAAACUAAAAACACAGAAAAAUACACUUUGCCUCUAACAUGGUGGCAAAGAUUAUAUAGUUAGGUUAAAACUCGCCAGGGGUAAUCUUGUAAAUUGGUGAAGACUUGGGCUUCAAGUCGGUUGUGACCAUACGGGCAUUCUGCGCGAUUCGCUGUCGAUCGAUGUUCAGGUGUGAACAUCUAUCGAUAUUCCUCCUCCAAUAUCGACUGAUGGUCGAGCUCGAUGGUCA